rnacentral:lncRNA from 1 species
UGUUUCUAGACUACACAGUGCAGGAGUCCGAGUGACUUCGGGAGUGCUGAUGGUGGUCUGUGAAUUCCAAUCAGGGACAUAUGAAGGCCUCAGAGAAAGGGACAGGAUCAGAUCCAUGCCACGAAGACUGUGAGAAGGAUGGACUCAGCACAGAGGAGAG